rnacentral:ncRNA from 1 species
UGACCUCAGAUCAGGCAAGGCAACCCGCUGAAUUUAAGCAUAUUAAUAAGCGGAGGAAAAGAAACUAACAAGGAUUCCCCUAGUAAUGGCGAAUGAAGCGGGAACAGCUCAAAUUUAAAAUCUCCAUUGCUUGCAACGGCGAAUUGUAGUUUCGAGAAGCACUUUCUCGGCGGAUCCGAGGUCGUCCAAGUUGCUUGGAACAGCACGUCGUAGAGGGUGACAACCCCNGUCUGCGGCGACCUCGGCCGUUCACGAUGUGCUUUCGACGAGUCGGGUUGUUUGGGAAUGCAGCCCAAAAUGGGUGGUAAACUCCAUCUAAAGCUAAAU